rnacentral:lncRNA from 1 species
CACUUCCACUUACCACUUACACUUACCACAAGCACUACCACCACCACCACCACUUCCACUUACCACUUCCACUUACCACUUCCACUUACCACUUCCACUUACCACUUCCACUUACCACUUCCACUUACCACUUCCACUUACCACUUCCACUUACCACUUCCACUUACCACUUCCAUUACUACCACGACUACCACUAACCAUCACCACUUUCAUCUCCAUUCUUGUCAUUAUUGGCUUGUUGUACGUUGUUCAAAUGUUUCAACGUAUGUACAUUUGUGACUACGAUUUCUUGUUAGCGAUAUAAACGAAGAGGAUAAAGACUUUGGAGUAAAUAAUUUUGGCCGUGCCACUAGCAUAAUGUAUUUGUGCGUCUAGGUAUCCUUAGCGUUGCAAGUGGAAAGUGGCUUCACACUAUAAAUGGUUGACACAGCUAAUACAUUAGACAUAAACUUUCUCAGCAUUCACGAACAGUAAAAAUACUAUUGGUAAAUGAUUCAUGGAUAUAUAGUAUUAGUAUUUGGCAUUCGUUUCGCUUAUGAAUUGUGAUUGAACCGAUAUCGUAUCAUCAUUAAAAGUUUCCUGUACAUCUUCUACAUCAUUCAAACAUGUGGAAGAAUCAUAAAUUUCACAAAAAUAAUGUCUCAAUCGCAUACGUAUUGUCUGCUCUGACUUGGCUUGUCUUCUGUAUGUGAUCCAAAUAGACGAGAAUGUCAAUCCAUCAUGUACGACCAAUCACACUUCCUAUAGCUGAAACCGAGUGCAAAUGCUUUUGUAGCAAUCAUGAUCUGUGCCUUUCCAAGUUAGGGGUUCCAAGACUCGUCAAAGUGAAUUUUUCAUUCUUCUUCAUUUAAAUCUCUCGUGUAAAUGGUUAUCAAGAUGUGAUGAGAGAACAAGUCAGGGUGGUCGAAAAGGAUGCUUAAUUAAUGUACGGUGAACGUUUCAUGUUUAUUCAUUGAAUCACCUUUCCAAAGUCUAUUAUUUUGUUUUUAUCAACAUUCGAAAAUUCAAGGGAAAGCUUAAAUCUCUUCUAAGAAUACAUGCAGAAACAAGAAAAAUGGUUUCCCGCCCAGUGGAUGCUUCUGUGAAUACACAAAAGUUUUGUAUGAAAGGUUAAAGCGGUUGUUUGGCACUGAAUGUAACUACCAAGGAAAAAGUAAUGCUAAGCAAAUUUAAUGAUGCAUAUAUAAUUGGGACAAUUGCAACAUUUGCAAUGUUUUGCCAAAGCGAAAUUGUAUCUUUCGUUUGCGUAUAAGGAAUGUGCCUCGUCAAAUUAUCAUCCAUCCCAGCUGAACAAAUACUGUCAAAGAUUUCAAAAAAUACCGUGAAGCAUUUGCUUUAUUAACGAUGUUACUCAAUAAAAAGAUAUUCAUUUGUGGCAUAACAAGUUCUCAAUUCGAUUCCAAGUACAUGGAGAGCGUAUGUUGAAAUUAAUAAAUCUAAAAUGGUGAUUAAGGAAGGAUUACUGUGCAUCUUUGAAAGUCAUUCAAUUCCUUAAUUAAAAACGACCAAUAUGCUGCGGUUCACCCUUAACAUCAUGUUUUUAACCAACGACAUCAUGGGUAGUAAAAUAAGUAAAACCAUAUUCAUAUUCUUUCUUAAUUUUCUCAAUUUUGAUCGUAUUUCGUUUUUUUCCACAACACCAGAUAUUAAAAUCGAUAAAGAACUUUUUCCAUCCGCAGUUGGGAGUACAUCAUUCCUACUUCGAUAUACUUUUGAAAGAGAAAAGUGAACCGAUUGGAAUUGUUUCGACAACACGAAUUUUACUUCUAGGUCAUAUAUUUAUGGCGAUGCCAAACAACAAUAUUGUUGAGACAGUAAGUUAAGCAAAUGGCUAAAUAAAUCCAAGACUGUUGUUGAGUGCUGUGGAUCUCAAUAUUAUCAGUAUCUACUCUUCUCGAUGAUCCUGUAAAUUUUUGUUAUCUUUUUUUAUUUGCAGUUACUGAUAAUACUAGCAUUUUGCAUGCUUUUUUUUAUUUGGAUGUUCUUCCAAUUGAUCAAUACAGUAACUUUAGAACUAUCAUCGCUAUGCCUUUAAAUGACCGCACUAAAAGCAUGGUACCGAAGCACUGACAUAACAGAGAGGUUCAGAAAGGAAUUUAAAGAUUGACUUUUUCGAUAAACUUCAUGUUACAAGUCUUAUCGUUUGUGUUUAUAAAUCAUCAGCCUCUCUCUAUAUCUCUAUAUCUCUAUAUCUCUAUAUAUCAGAUAUAAAGAUGCGAGUUUUGAAGUAGACAUUCCGCACAAAGUCUAGUACACCAUGUCUCUUGUGCUCAGGCUGGUUGUCCUGCAAAAAUGUACAACAGGCAAAUGGAUGUUUCAUCAAAGAUGGACUCCUUUGCCUCAUACUUAUUGAUGGCGAAGCUAGAUCCGUUAUCAUCUUGAGAAAACACAUCGUUGUCUUCAGAGUAGUGAUAGUUCUUAUCGUUGUAGUUAUAGUUGUAGUUAUAGUUAUAGUUGUAGUUGUAAUAACUCUUUCAACAAGUCCUGAAUCUUGGCAAACAGACCCUCAUACAGUGCUGUCAGCUCACUCAAGUCCAAUCGCACCAUGUUAAUUAAACGCAUCUCCAAUGCACGGGUACAUAGAAUUACUUCGAGACUGAAACAAUACGGUGCUUGGGCUUAGUCCUUGUAGUGUAUUUUGCAUACAUACCCUUCUGUUCGAAUGAUAUCCCUAAUGACUUUGUGGGUUUCGUAAAGAACAUCAUAUAGAUUUCUUUGACCAAGUGUAAUAAAGCAAAACACACGGACAUAGUAUGGAUAUGGACACAGCAUGGAUAUGGACACAAGCAACACUACCAGUCGUUUGAAACGAUGAAAUGGGCAACAAGUCGAUUUGUUUUUCAUCUAUCAAUCGUUGUAAUUCACAUGCAGCUACAAGACGACACGUUAUAUUUAGGGUGCAAAGCAGGUAGAGAUUUCAUAGGCAUAUUUCGAAGUACCAGCUUUAUGCCAAAACAUGCAUGCAUGCAAGAAACUCCAUAACUUCGUUUGCGCAACUCCUGCUUAUCGUCUUCUUUCUAUACCCAUGCUGUUGGAUCAAUGAAUGAACGUAGCAAUAGAUACAAGAUAUAGCGCCACACUUUUGAGCAUAUCCUAAUGACAGUAAUUCGUUUUGUUCUAAGCGACCAAGUAUUCGCUUGCAACACUAUAGUUCUCACUUUGAGGAAACAUUCCUUUGAUGCCCAUGUUCAUUCCACUUGGAUGACAGAAUCCUCGAUAGUAUUAGUAUUAAUGAAUUAACUGUCAGGAUGUGUUGUCGUUCUUGAAGUAAGUCUUGUGAAAGAAACCACCGAGUUAAAAAUAGAGAUCUUGAUGGUUUUAUAUAUAAAAGUUUAAUGCUUGCCUAUUUAUACAUUUCCCAAGGACUGCUGAGGUAGAUGCGUUGUUCAGUUGACUAGGAUUUGUUUGAAUUCAAAGAUUAUCUAUUCAAGUCUUCUUUAUACGUUUGCAUGUGUUUGAUAAGAAUUCCAUUGAUUCAGAAAAAAAGUGCCAACAGUUUUUCCAACUUGACUGACACUACAACCUUCCAAUCAUAGCCAUACUACUAUGGUAUAAAAA